rnacentral:rRNA from 1 species
UACGGGGGGGGCAAGCGUUGUUCGGAAUUACUGGGCGUAAAGGGCGCGUAGGCGGCCUUCUAAGUCGAACGUGAAAUCCCCGGGCUCAACCCGGGAACUGCGUCCGAUACUGGAAGGCUUGAAUCCGGGAGAGGGAUGUGGAAUUCCAGGUGUAGCGGUGAAAUGCGUAGAUAUCUGGAGGAACACCGGUGGCGAAGGCGGCAUCCUGGACCGGUAUUGACGCUGAGGCGCGAAAGCCAGGGGAGCAAACGGG